rnacentral:lncRNA from 1 species
AUGUAAGCAAUCAUUUCCCUGGAAACAGAAAACAUAAUAUUAAUAAAAUUUGUAGCCAGAACUAAAAUAUAUGAGCAGUUUCGAUCCCUGAUCAGCUAAUCUCAUCUGAAACUUCAGGCUCCCAGCAUUGUGCUAUUCAAAGAAUCAAAUAUAGCCAGACAAUAUGCAGGUCAAGAUUAAUUAAGCAUCAGACAUACUUUAGUCAAAAAACCCUUGAUCAAACUGGUUGGUCAAGCCAAAAAGGUAUUAUAUCUUUACGUUCCUUCCUUUGGUUAUGGAGCCAGCCUAAUGCUUCUGCAACCAGCAGUCAGUAUUGCAUUGAUUCUAACACCCAUUGGAAAUGCAGAAUUUUUUUAAUAUAUGAAAUCAGUUCAUUAAUGAUGUAUCAUUGUCAAAUUAGAG